UACGUAGGCAGCAAGCGUUGUUCGGAGUUACUGGGCGUAAAGGGUGCGUAGGCGGCUUUUUAAGUUUGGUGCGAAAUCUCCCGGCUCAACUGGGAGGGUGCGCCGAAUACUGAGAGGCUAGAGUGUGGGAGAGGAAAGUGGAAUUCCUGGUGUAGCGGUGAAAUGCGUAGAUAUCAGGAGGAACACCGGUGGUGUAAACGGCUUUCUGGACCAUAACUGACGCUGAGGCACGAAAGCGUGGGUAGCAAACAGG
rnacentral:rRNA from 1 species